rnacentral:siRNA from 1 species
GGGUGGGACCCACAGCGAAUGGUU